UACGGAGGGUGCGAGCGUUGUCCGGAAUCACUGGGCGUAAAGGCGCGUAGGCGGCCUGAUAAGUAGGGGGUGAAAUCCUGCGGCUUAACCGCAGGGCUGCCUUCUAAACUGUCAGGCUGGAGCACAGUAGAGGCAGGUGGAAUUCCCGGUGUAGCGGUGGAAUGCGUAGAGAUCGGGAAGAACAUCAGUGGCGAAGGCGGCCUGCUGGGCUGUUGCUGACGCUGAGGCGCGACAGCGUGGGGAGCAAACGAGG
rnacentral:rRNA from 1 species